rnacentral:rRNA from 1 species
GAUGAACGCUGGCGGCGUGCCUAAUACAUGCAAGUCGAGCGAACGGACGAGAAGCUUGCUUCUCUGAUGUUAGCGGCGGACGGGUGAGUAACACGUGGAUAACCUACCUAUAAGACUGGGAUAACUUCGGGAAACCGUAGCUAAUACCGGAUAAUAUUUUGAACCGCAUGGUUCAAAAGUGAAAGACGUUCUUGCUGUCACUUAUAGAUUGAUCCGCGCUGCAUUAGCUAGUUGGUAAGGUAACGGCUUACCAAGGCAACGAUGCAUAGCCGACCUGAGAGGGGGAUAGGCAACACGGGAACUGAGACACGGUCCAGACUCCUACGGGAGGCAGCAGUAGGGAAUCUUCCGAAAUGGGCGAAAGCCUGACGGAGCAACGCCGCGUGAGUGAUGAAGGUCUUCGGAUCGUAAAACUCUGUUAUUAGGGAAGAAAAUAUGUGUAAGUAACUGUGCACAUCUUGACGGUACCUAAUAAGAAAGCAACGGCUAACUACGUG